rnacentral:tRNA from 1 species
GGAAGUGUGCCUGAACUUAAAGGACUACUUUGAUAGAGUAGAUAAUAGAGGUUAAAACCCACUCGCUUCCC